rnacentral:rRNA from 1 species
AUCACUAUAGGGCUGAAUUUCCACUUUAGUCUGGCCUGCGAACUUCUGCCCUUGCAGAGUCUUGAUUCUUGGCUCAGGAUCAACGCUAGUCUACAGGCUUAACACAUGCAAGUCGAGGGGCAGCAUGGAAGAAGCUUGCUUCUUCUUCAUGGCGACCGGCGCACGGGUGCGUAACGCGUAUCAAACCUGCCUCAUACUCGGGGAUAGCCUUGCGAAAGUAAGAUUAAUACCCGAUGUUGUUAUGUUGCCGCAUGGUGAUAUAACCAAAGAUUUAUCGGUAUGAGAUGGUGAUGCGUCCGAUUAGGUAGUAGGCGGGGUAACGGCCCACCUAGCCUUCGAUCGGUAGGGGUUCUGAGAGGAAGGUCCCCCACACUGGAACUGAGACACGGUCCAGACUCCUACGGGAGGCAGCAGUGAGGAAUAUUGGUCAAUGGACGCAAGUCUGAACCAGCCAAGUAGCGUGCAGGAUGACGGCCCUCUGGGUUGUAAACUGCUUUUAGUUGGGAAUAAAAAAGAGGACGUGUCCUCUAUUGUAUGUACCUUCAGAAAAAGGACCGGCUAAUUCCGUGCCAGCAGCCGCGGUAAUACGGAAGGUCCAGGCGUUAUCCGGAUUUAUUGGGUUUAAAGGGAGCGUAGGCGGAUUAUUAAGUCAGUGGUGAAAGACGGUAGCUCAACCAUCGUUAGCCAUUGAAACUGGUAGUCUUGAGUGCAGACAGGGGAUGCUGGAACUCGUGGUGUAGCGGUGAAAUGCUUAGAUAUCACGAUGAACUCCGAUCGCGAAGGCAGGUGUCCGGGCUGCAACUGACGCUGAGGCUCGAAAGUGUGGGUAUCAAACAGGAUUAGAUACCCUGGUAGCUCCACACAGUAAACGAUGUAUACUCGCGGGUUUGCGAUAGACAGUAAGCCGCCAAGCGAAAGCAUUAAGUAUACCCACNCUGGGGGGUACGCCGGCAACGGUGAAACUCAAAGGAAUUGAGCGGGGGCCCGCACAANCGGAGGAACAUGUGGUUUAAUUCGAUGAUACGCCGAGGAACCUUACCCGGGCUUGAANCUAAGAGUGNCGAAUGUAGAGAUAGAUUUUUCUUCGGGACACUCUUGGAGNUGCUANCAUGGUUGUCGUCAGCUCGUGCCGUGAGGUGUCGGCUUAAGUGCCAUUACGAGCGCAACCACUUUUCCUUGGUUGCACAUACACGGUGAUGCUGGGCACUCNCAGGGAUACUGCCAGUCGUAAGAUNUGAGGAAGGNGGGGAUGACAGUCAAAUCANCACG